CCUGUGACACUGUUUUUAACGGCUCUAAGCCUCAACUUUCUCAUCUGUAAAAUAGCUAUUAGGUAGCAUUUAUCUCAUAGAGCUCAGGGAGCAAAUGAGACAAUGCAGGUGAAACGGGUGACCCAGUGCUUGGCACUUAGUGAGCAGUGGAUACAUGGGAGCCAUGGCUUAUUUUUAGGACACACAGAAUGACUUACAUUAGCUGAAGCCCAGGAACAUAGCGAACCCCAGGAGGCCCAGAGGUGUCCUCCGCGUGCACCCAGGAUCAGGAAGUGCUGGCCCUGCCGUCAUGCCCUCGCCAAGAGCCCUGCCCUCCUUUCUCUUUCCAGUCUGGCUCAGCCCGGAGAGGAUUCUCCCGUGAGUUGGAGAAGUUAAAUACCUGCGCUCAAAACCUAGAGCGCAAGAGAGGAAAUACGGCCGCGGCUACCUCGCCCACUCGUGGAGUCCCACCCCGAGGCCCUAGACCUUCGGGGCUCAGCUAGCCCCUUGGAUUCCAAGGGAAAUCAGGAAUCACGGCAGUCCACUCCAUCGAUUUAAGAACGAGGAAACCAGGGGAGGUGUAACUUGUCCAAGGUCCUACAGGUUAGAGCCCCUGGAAGAGGCCGCGCUGGACGGAGAGAAGUUAAAAAGAGAGGCAUGUGCUCUGGAGUCUGGGAGUUGGUCAGACUGGGUCUCCAUUCCUCCGAUGACCUGAGUAACCUGGGGAGAGUUACUCAGAUACUCCAUGCGCGCGCGCGCGCGCGCGCACACACACACACACACACACACACACACACGCACGCAUCGCUGUGCCUUGAAGACCAGUGCCUGGACUCUGCUGACUGCAUAAAAUCCUGUUUCCUUAACUUUCCCUUCCCGUUUCUCAUCUGAAUAACUUACAUCAUCAAGUCAUGGAGUCCUAAUUCUUUUCUCCUUUUUCUUUUGGUCAGGAGCAGACGCGCUCAGAGAGGGGAAGAGACUUGCCCAAGGUCACAUAGCAAGUUUGAGCCAGAGCCCAGGCCAGCACACAGAUUGCCUGAGUGCCCUGCCAUCAGGGCCCCUGUAGGGCUUGGAAGAGGAAGAGGCUGAUGCAGGUGCCCAGUGCGACCAGCACAGAGAGCCCCCGGGACCUGGCUCUAGGAUGCUGACUGUGGGCAGGUUAACUGGGGGAAGACCCGCUGCCUCUCCAGGCAUGUACACUUCCUGUCUCUCAGGAGCCUGACGCCUGGAGAGGAGGAGGGAGUCGCUGCCAGGGCUCUGGAAACCCUGAGUAAUGGACAGGGGGGCCUCUGCCAGCUCCACCCGGGGAUGGCAGCUGCCCCCAGCAGGGAGCACCAACCACACACGUGGGAGGAACAGAUUGCUUAGACAGAUGCAGAAAGGCAGCCCAGAUUCUGAAACCGGUGGGAGAAUUGGGGCUCAGAAAAAACUAAAUAAUAGUAUAUUAUUCAUAAUAUAAUAUUUUAUUAUGUAUAAUAUAUUAUUACUACAUUGUAUUGAGCCCUUAGGAUGUGCCAGGCACUACUUCACAAUGUCUCGUGUAAUCCCCACAGCAAGCCUAGGAGGUGGAUAUUAAUAUUAUACCCACUUUCCAGAUGAAGAUACUGAGGCUUCAGGAGGUUCAGUCCCUUGCCCAAGGUUGCCAGGAAGGAAAGCUCACAAAAGAGGGUUUUUUUGGGGACUGGAAGACCUCUAGGUUUCCUUCUUCUUUCCUAACCCCAAGUUUUCAUACCAGCCCAGGCUUCCUCCUGCCUCCUCCCGGAUCUGCAGGCCGCCUUCCCCUCCUCCUCCCUCCUCCUGUUCUCAGUCUUCCCCAUCGCCUCCCCUUCUUCAAACCCUCGGCCCCUAAGGCUCAGAGGCUGAAGACACAGGGAUAGACUCUCCCUGACGCUGCACUUGGACCGCUAGCUGAGGAAGGUUAAAGAAAGCAGGUUUUGCAGCUCUUUGCAUAACAACAACAAAAAUUCUUUUCCCAAGAAAAGUGGUGUGCGCUCAGCAGUGCCUCCUCCAUGCACCUCUGAACACCCACCGCCCAAGACCAGGAGUCCCGGUUGUGGUUCAAGAGAAGGAAGGCAUUUCUAGUGGUUCAAGCUUAUUCGACAGCAGAGUGGGCAGCCUCUUGGGGCUCUGGGCCUCCCGUCACUGCAGAUGUCUCAGCACAGGCGGGAGGUCCCCUGUCCGAUGGUGGUGCCAAAGAAAUUCCUGGAUUCCCUUUCUCUUACUUGCUGAGAAAUCAAUUCCAGCCCUGGGAUUCCAGCUACAUUACCGCAAAAACAUCGGUCCUACUUGUAAUCAAAUUGGAUUCAGAGUUAGUGUGUACGUUUCUCGUCCAUCUCUGAAUAGAAAUCUAUCAAGGUGGCUGAUGUCAAGGGGAGGAGAAAGGACCCCUAGCUCUGUCAGGCGGGAGGACAGCGGCCUGGGGUGGGAAGGGAUACAUUGUGGUGGUAAUCUUGGGGUGGGCAGGGGGUUGAGAAAGGAAGGAAGACAUGGAAAAUGGCAUCUGGUGGAUUGUGGGGGCGCCUGCAGCAGAGGACUCUAGCAUGGGGAAGCAUUAGAGAAAGCCUGUUCCCAGAGUUCCAGGGGCCAAGCAGGGUCCCCAGGGGUCUCUCCCCCGUGGGGUUCAUCCCAGCCUUCUAGAUUUCCUGUCUUCAGCCUUGCUUCCCGCUCAAGCAGGGCCUUGAGAGGGUUAUGUUCAGGCGAGGAGCCCUCUUCCUCCAGCCCUGCACAGCCUGGACAUGGGUCUUUGGGCCCAGAGGUGUGUGAAGGAUGCCUCCUCCUGCCUAUGUCUCUGCCUAACGCCGGGUCCCAGCACCCUCCUUCCCAGAGCCUGUCACAAGAAUUAAGAAGUGGAGCGACGGCCUCAUCCCUCAGGGAAGGAAAGAGCUCCCCAAGUGAACCAAGGGCUCUCUCUGUGAGGCCUUCCGUGGCACAGGAUCGGGGGGAGAUUGGGGUGCAGUGGUCGUCCGGGGAGCCCUCCCAGGCCAGGCUUGGUGAAGCUACCGUGGCUUCUCAGGGUGUAGACCCAUGACUAUGAUGUCACAUGGGAUUUGGAGGCAUGGCUGGCACCUUGAGCUCAUUUCUUUUGGGACCUUGAAGGACUGAGACAGGAGGGCCUCGUGCCCUCAUGUCCCCACCCUGAAACCUCCUUUCCCCCAUAUGCUGCUCAGGCAAACAUACCCCUCCCCCACUUCUCCUACCCAAGAUAUGAAUGAUCCUUUCCCCCUUAGUAUUACCAUCACCGCCCUCAAACCCCGGUCCAUAACCAGUUGCAAUAUGUCAACCUAAUUUGAACCUGAUUCAAAUAAGCCGAAAGGAAGAUAUAUUUGUGAUACAAUUGAAAAUUUGGACACUGACUGGAUAUUUGUUGAUUUAAAGACAAUUUUUUAAUAAUGCUCUUUUUUUAGAACAGUUUUAGAUUUAUAGCAAAAUUAAGAAAAUAGUGCAGAAAGUUCCCACAUACCAUCCCUCCCCACCCAGUUUCCCCUAUUAUUAAUAUCUUCCAUUUGUAUAGAUACAUUUGACACAAUUAAUGAACCAAUUUUGAUACAUUAUUGUUAACUAAAGGCCAUAGUUUACUGAAAUUUCCUUAGUUUUUACUUAGUACCCUUUUUCUGCGCCAGGAUCCCCUCCAGGAUCCCACAUUACAUUUAGUUAUCCUGUCUCUUCAGGCUCUUCUCGGCUGGGACAGUUUCUUAGACUUUCCUUAUUUUCGAUGACCUUGGCAGUUUCGAGAAGUACCGGUCAGAUAUUUUGUAGAACGUCCCUCUAUUGGAAUUUGAUGUUUUUCUCAUGGUUAGACUGGGGUUUGGGGUUUGGGAGAGGAAGAUCACAGAGGUAAAGAGCCAUUCUCAUCACAUCCUGUCAGGGGUGCAUAGUAUCGGCAUGAUGUGUGACUGUUGACAUUGACCUUGAUCACCGGCCUGAGGUGGUGGUGGUCAGGUUCUCCACUGUAGUUACUCUUUCCCUCACUUUCCAUCUUCUUUGGAAGGAAGUCACUAUGGCCAGCCCACACUGAAGGGGUGGAAGCUAUGCUGCCCGCUCCCCAUUGAGGGCGGAGUAUCUACAUAAGUUAUUUAGAAUUCUUCUGCACGAGAGGUUUCUCUCUUCUCCCUCAUUUAUUUAUUUAUUCAAUUAUUUAUACCAGCAUGAACUCUGGGAUAUUUAUUUUAUACUUUGGGUAAUAAUCCCAUACUACCAUAUUUAUUUUGUUGCUCAGUUGUUCUAACUUUGGCCAGUGGAGCUAUGUCAGUUGGCUCGUGUGUCCCUUUGACAUAACCCCACCAGUGUGGGAUUUUUGUUUUCCCUUUGUUUAGCACUUCCAUACUUUCUGGCCCUGUAAGACACUCCAAGUUCAUCUGGCAUAUUUCCUGCCCAGUCCUGGAGUCAGCCAUUUCUCCAAGGAGCCCUGGUUUGUUUUCCUGGAGAAUGGUUCUGGAAGCCUAGAUCUGGGUGCUGGGUAUGCUCCUUGCUAGUGGGGUUAAAGAUUUAAUUUUAACUUUUUACAUGAUAAUGGUAUUGAAGUUAUUUUUUAAAAGAGUCUUUAUCUUUUUUUAGAUACCUAUAGAAUAUUUAUGGCUGAAAUGAUAUGUCUGCGAUUUGCUUCAAAAUAAUAUGGGAAGAGAUGGGACAAGAUUGGCCAUGCAUUGCGCAUUGUUGAGGCUGGGUGAUGGAAUACACAGGGGCUCUUUAUAGUGUUCUGUCUACUUAGUAUAUGUUUGAAAUGUCUGGAGUAAAAAUUUUAAAAUAAUAAAUCAAAACUCAGUCCCAAUCACCUCCUCUAGAAGCCCUUCUUGGUGACACUCUCUGGCCUGGCGUCUGCCCCUUCCUCCUGCUGGGUGUUUCCAUCCUUUCCGCGCUGGAGCGCUGCUCUAUAGGUGUCCUGGCCUCAGCUCACUGCCUGCCUGAGGACGGGGUGUCUCCUUGGAGCGGUGCACCACUGCAGGAGUCUGCAGGGGCUCCGCACCAGAGAGGGAGAGCAGCCCCCCCUAGCCGUGCCCAGGUGCUGCGGUGUGGCAGGCCCCAUGCCAGGCACCUUCACAGGUACAGUCCCAGCAAGUGGGCAUCAUUCUUACUCUGAGUUUAUGGAUGAGGAAACUGAGGCUAAGAGAACCAUUGAGUGCCCCUGACUGGGCAGCUUCCGACCCUUCUGAGCCCACCCUAGGGAGAAGGGAUCCAGGGUGCUAAAUGUCUCCAUCUGCCCUUCCACACCCACUCUCCAACCUUCUCCCCCCGCCUGUGCGCCCAGAGCCUGACCCUCUGGACUGCAUCACUCAGCUCUCCGUCUUCUGGCUCCCCG
rnacentral:lncRNA from 1 species